rnacentral:rRNA from 1 species
UGAAGAUGCAGUGUACCCGCGGCAAGACGGAAAGACCCCGUGGACCUUUACUAUAGCUUGACACUGAACAUUGAGCCUUGAUGUGUAGGAUAGGUGGGAGGCUUUGAAGUGUGGACGCCAGUCUGCAGCCAUUUCCAGAAUCUUAUCUUUAGGAGAGCCUUCUGCAACGUGAGCCUGCACGCGGUCCGCAGGAAGGUUGAAUUUCUUGAUAAUCGCUUCCAGUUGAGAUUUGGCUUCGGCUUUCAAAUCGUCCA